UUUAUAUGUGUCUUUCAAUCUAUUUUCUUAGAUAGAUACAAUAUAAAAUUAUAACAUAACAAUGAAAUUUAAAUUAUACAUUCGAUCAAACGACUUUUAUUAGAUUAAGCAUGGUUUGCGCAUGCGCACACAUGAAAACCCGAGAGAAAGUUCUGCCUGGAAGAGACCGCACGCAGCAGAAGUCGGAGGAGGCUGGUUAUCUGCUGAACAGCGCGAAGCGAACAGGACACGUUUGUCAGGAAAGCUGCUGCUUGGUAGGCCUAACGUAGUUCCUGGUGCCAGUUUUGGUUGUCUGUCAAGUCUUCGCUGACACUGGAUAUGCCAGGUGAUGGACUGGAGCAAACAAUGGCCGUCUUAAUCAGUGAGACAGACACCAGGGUUCUCAUUGAGGGCACAGAGGUCAGAAACGUGCCCUCAACCGCAGCUGCUGUAGCAAUGCUAUUUGGACUGACAUAUGUGCUAAACCUCGAGUAUCCAAAAGAACUGAAAUUCACUUUUGAGUUUUUUCAGAAAGUUUUAAUGGGGCUUGACACAAGAAAAAUGACCCCCAAGAUAUGUCGCCUCUGCACUCUGCUGCAUAGUCAAUGACUGACUGACAGCCUCCAUUCAGUGCUUUGAUGAACACACACACAGGAUGGCAGAAAUGCUUUCACCCCAGUCUCCACUACAUCGUAUUAGUAGUUCAGUAGUUGUUUGUUGUUUACUGGAUGUGGCAAUAUCUAUGUUUUGUAUUUGAUUUACAUUUAUUUCUUCUGCCAAAAAUGUUAAUUCCUGAGAGAAGCAGACCAAUUGUUUUUAGGUAUUUGUUCUUAUUUCUUAUUCUUGUUCUUCUUCUUCUUAUUUGUUCUUAUGAUAUAUUCACAUUUUAAUACUGCUAUAUAUGAAAUUCAACUUGAAA